UGGAAUGUUAGGAAGCACCCUUC
rnacentral:piRNA from 1 species